rnacentral:rRNA from 1 species
AUGGACACGGUGGGCGCCCGGCUGAGCCGCUCCUCCACGCGCUAUGGCCCCGUCGGCAGCAGCAACGCCUCCUUCAGUGGGCCCGUCAGGAAGUGGCGCAAGGCGUGGGCCCCUCUCGCCGGCGGCGGCGCGGGGUCCGCCUCCGCCGGUAUGGGUCCCAUUGGGUGCCCAAGGGGUAACAAGGUGGUGCUGCUCAAGUGGGCACCGGUGAGCGGUGCCGGCGACGGUAACGGCAAGGAGGUCGCCGCGGCGGCCACCAGACGGCGAUACGUUCCGGUUUCGGGUGUGCCACAGAACCCUACCAGAAAAGGCGGCAGCACCGAGCUGAACUUGAACCUUGGUUUGGAGGACCCGGAUGAUGACAGCGACGCUGAUUUGAGCCCAGACGAACAGCGUGACAUGGGCAGCACCCCGCGUUCGGAGAACCGACUGAAGAGGAAAGUGUUUUAA